rnacentral:rRNA from 1 species
AAGGGCACCACAAGAACGCGUGGAGCAUGUGGCUUAAUUUGACUCAACACGAGAAAUCUUACCGGGUCCGGACACACUGAGGAUUGACAGGUAUUAUCAAUAAUUAUUUUUGCAUUUUUAUGUUAAAAAUUCAAUCAUUGUGUUAAAUAUGCUAGUCCUUUCAUGAUUAUGUGAUAGGUGGUGCAUGGCCGUUCUUAGUUCGUGGAGUGAUCUGUCUGCUUAAUUGCGUUUCACUAAGGGCUUAAAAUUAUGUGCUUUAAUAUUGACCCCUCAAUUUUUAAUUGAGUGUGUUGUCUUUAUUGGUACUUCUAAGCUCUGAAAGCAACGAACGUGACCGCAACCCUUUGUUGCCUUUACUAAAAUUUUAUUUUUUUAUAAAAUAUAAUUAAAAAGGCUUUUUAAACUAGGGGGACCGCUGUAAUCUUUUUAAACCAGAGGAAGGUUGCGGCAAUAACAGGUCUGUGAUGCCCUUAGAUGUUCCGGGCUGCACACGUGCUACAAUGAUUUUUGCAGUGAGCAUCUCAUUUUUAAUACAUCGCUUGCAUGAUGCUUUAUAUUUAAAUUUAUUUUUAUUUAUUUCGUUCAUUUUUGCGCGAUAAAGCCUGCUUCGAAAGUAAGUGGGUAAUCAAUUAGAAGUAAAGAUUUCCAAAUUUUAUAGCACAAAUAUAUACGGCAUUUUUACCCGGCUUUUUCAUUUCGAAUUAGUUUUGUGUGUAUUAAUGAGUUCCUUUGUAUAGUUUGUCUUUUAUGGCAUUCUUAUACAGUACUUUAUCGUAUGUGCAAUUGUCAAUUCAUGGUGGGGACAGACCAUUGUUAAUUGUUGGUCUCGGUUUCAACUAGGAAUGCCUUGUACGGAUCUUUGGUUCAACAAACCAUCCGGAAUACGUCCCUGCCCUUUGUACACACCGCCCGUCGCUCUUACCGAUAGACUUCUCUGUGAGUUUGAGGGACUGGAUAACUUAUACUUCUAUGGAAACUUAAACGAACAGUGUGGUCCAAAGGAAAGAGAAGUCGAACAAGGCA